GCUGUUUCUCAGCCUUUUGGCUAAGAUCAAGGGUAGUAUCUGUUCGUAGCUGAUCCGUCCUCUAACUAAAAACUAUUAAAUGGAUUUUUAGAGCUUGGAGAUGGAAUAAGAGCUUGCUCCAUGCACUCAUACGUCAACCUUGUGUUGUAGUACCUCCAGGAAAAGUGCCCGCACA
rnacentral:snRNA from 1 species